rnacentral:lncRNA from 1 species
UGCUAAGAGAAAAUGUUUCUUUCUUUCGGAUUCGGCUUCCCGACACUCCAGUAGGACGUGGAGGAUGGUCAGCCUCUCCCCGCAUCUACCACAGUUUGGAGGCUCGUUUCCCGUAUCUGUUGUCCACACAGUUCUAAGCAAGGAUCCGGAACCAGGCCUCUCUUUCUUGUAUACAGAACACAAGAACUCUUAAAGGAUUGCGAGUAAUGGUUGGCACUUGACACGCUCUCAAAGUGCUCCCCAAGUGAGUCCGCCUGAUCUUG